rnacentral:rRNA from 1 species
UACAGAGGGGGCAAGCGUUGUUCGGAAUUACUGGGCGUAAAGGGCUCGUAGGUGGCCAACUAAGUCAGACGUGAAAUCCCUCGGCUUAACCGGGGAACUGCGUCUGAUACUGGAUGGCUAGAGAUUGGGAGAGGGAUGCGGAAUUCCAGGUGUAGCGGUGAAAUGCGUAGAUAUCUGGAGGAACACCGGUGGCGAAGGCGGCAUCCUGGACCGGUAUUGACGCUGAGGCGCGAAAGCCAGGGGAGCAAACGGG